CAGCCGCCACGGUAAUACAGAGGGUGCGAGCGUUAAUCGGAUUUACUGGGCGUAAAGCGUGCGUAGGCGGCUUCUUAAGUCGGAUGUGAAAUCCCUGAGCUUAACUUAGGAAUUGCAUUCGAUACUGGGAAGCUAGAGUAUGGGAGAGGAUGGUAGAAUUCCAGGUGUAGCGGUGAAAUGCGUAGAGAUCUGGAGGAAUACCGAUGGCGAAGGCAGCCAUCUGGCCUAAUACUGACGCUGAGGUACGAAAGCAUGGGGAGCAAACAGGAUUAGAUACCCGCGUAGUCCCUGUCUCUAUACA
rnacentral:rRNA from 1 species